UUUUUUUUUUUGUGUGCAUGGUCUUGGGAACCCAGAAAGGUCCCAGCUGACUGGAAACUGGCUAAUGUCCUGGUUUUCAAAAACAACAAGAAGGAGAAUCCUGGAAGCUACAUGGCCUGUGAAAAUCUACUUUUGGAUCUUUCAAGAUGUCUUCCUUGAAAAAUUGUUUGAAAUUAUUACUUAAAAUCACAGUCUUCAGAUUUUUUCAAUAUUAUAUUUUUAUUUACCUUUUCUGUAUGAGAAUUUCUUUUUUUAUUGCACGUCUUCCAUCAGUAGAACUGAGAUACUGCAUUCUUGUGUGUCAAUCUGAAAAGAAGUCCUAGGUGAGAUAGUUUCUUCAUAUUGCAUGUUGAAUUUUUUAUAGUGUCACAAAUGUCUUUUCUCUUUAUAUGCAUAAUUUUUCUUACUUAAUAAAAAUUUUAGCUAUUCCCAGGAUA